UCCUACGGGGCGCAGCAGUAGGGAAUUUUCGUCAAUGGGCGCAAGCCUGAACGAGCAAUGCCGCGUGAACGAGGAAGGUCUUCGGAUCGUAAAGUUCUGUUGAAGGGGAAAAGAGCGGAGAGAGGAAAUGAACUCCGAUUGAUAUUACCCUUCGAGGAAGUCACGGCUAACUACGUGCCAGCAGCCGCGGUAAUACGUAGGUGGCGAGCGUUAUCCGGAUUUAUUGGGUUUAAAGGGUGCGCAGGCGGCCUGUUAAGUCAGCGGUAAAAGCCCGGGGCUCAACCCCGGCGAGCCGUUGAAACUGG
rnacentral:rRNA from 1 species